rnacentral:rRNA from 1 species
AUGAACGCUAGCGACAGGCCUAACACAUGCAAGUCGAGGGGCAGCACAAGGAGCAAUCUGAGGUGGCGACCGGCGCACGGGUGAGUAACACGUACGCAACCUGCCUGUAAGCGGGGAAUAACCCGUUGAAAGACGGACUAAUACCGCAUAAUACUAAAUUACUGCAUGGUAAUUAUUUAAACAUUUAUGGCUUACAGAUGGGCAUGCGCAUGAUUAGCUAGUUGGAGAGGUAACGGCUCCCCAAGGCAACGAUCAUUAGGGGUUCUGAGAGGAAGGUCCCCCACACCGGUACUGAGACACGGACCAGACUCCUACGGGAGGCAGCAGUGAGGAAUAUUGGUCAAUGGACGAGAGUCUGAACCAGCCAAGUCGCGUGCAGGAAGAAUGUCCUAUGGAUUGUAAACUGCUUUUGCAGGGGAAUAAAGUGCAUCACGUGUGAUGUUUUGUAUGUACUCUGCGAAUAAGGAUCGGCUAACUCCGUGCCAGCAGCAGC